UACGUAGGGUCCGAGCGUUGUCCGGAAUUAUUGGGCGUAAAGAGCUCGUAGGCGGUUUGUCGCGUCUGCCGUGAAAGUCCGGGGCUCAACUCCGGAUCUGCGGUGGGUACGGGCAGACUAGAGUGAUGUAGGGGAGACUGGAAUUCCUGGUGUAGCGGUGAAAUGCGCAGAUAUCAGGAGGAACACCGGUGGCGAAGGCGGUUCUCUGGGCAUGUCCUGACGCUGAGGAGCGAAAGUGUGGGGAGCGAACAGG
rnacentral:rRNA from 1 species